GACGAACCGUGCGAACGUUGUUCGGAUUCACUGGGCUUAAAGGGCGCGUAGGCGGGCGGUCAAGUCGGGGGUGAAAUCUUUCCGCUUAACGGGAAGCGUGCCUCCGAUACUGAUCGCCUCGAGGGAGGUAGGGGCAUGUGGAACUUCCGGUGGAGCGGUGAACUGCGUAGAGAUCGGAAAGAACACCAACGGCGAAAGCACUCUGCUGGGCCGACACUGACACUGAGAGACGAAAGCUAGGGGAGCGAAUGGG
rnacentral:rRNA from 1 species